AACCAUAGAAACCUGCGGAGUACCUGCGGAGGGAUCAUUAUAGUAUAUGGAAUCUCCAUUCUAUAAACCCACUCUGCGUAUCUUGUAGCUGUUGCUUCCAUGGGACUUGGUUCCGCCACACCGGCUUCACGGCUGGUGAGCGCCCAUGGAAGGAGAAACAAAACUCUUCUUUGAAAUGUAGUCAGUCUGAACAAGUUUUUAUAAACGUUAAAACUUUUAACAAUGGAUCUCAGAUCGGAA
rnacentral:misc_RNA from 1 species